UUGCUCUUCAACGAGGAAUUCCUAGUAAGCGCAAGUCAUCAGCUUGCGUUGAUUACGUCCCUGCCCUUUGUACACACCGCCCGUCGCUACUACCGAUUGAAUGGUUAUAGUGAGCAUAUGGGAUCAGUAGAAUUAGACUGGCAACAGUCUUUCUCUGCAGAGAACUAUGGCAAACUAGGCUAUUUAGAGGAAGUAAAAGUCGUAACAAGGUUUCCGUAGGUGAACCUGCGGAAGGAUCAUUAAAUAAUCAAUAAUUUUGGCUUGUCCAUUAUUAUCUAUUUACUGUGAACUGUAUUAUUACUUGACGCUUGAGGGAUGCUCCACUGCUAUAAGGAUAGGCGGUGGGGAUGUUAACCGAGUCAUAGUCAAGCUUAGGCUUGGUAUCCUAUUAUUAUUUACCAAAAGAAUUCAGAAUUAAUAUUGUAACAUAGACCUAAAAAAUCUAUAAAACAACUUUUAACAACGGAUCUCUUGGUUCUCGCAUCGAUGAAGAACGUAGCAAAGUGCGAUAACUAGUGUGAAUUGCAUAUUCAGUGAAUCAUCGAGUCUUUGAACGCAACUUGCGCUCAUUGGUAUUCCAAUGAGCACGCCUGUUUCAGUAUCAAAACAAACCCUCUAUCCAGCAUUUUGUUGAAUAGGAAUACUGAGAGUCUCCUGAUCUAUUCUGAUCUCGAACCUCUUGAAAUGUACAAAGGCCUGAUCUUGUUUAAAUGCCUGAACUUUUUUUUAAUAUAAAGAGAAGCUCUUGCGGUAAACUGUGCUGGGGCCUCCCAAAUAAUACUCUUUUUAAAUUUGAUCUGAAAUCAGGCGGGAUUACCCGCUGAACUUAAGCAUAUCAAUAAGCGGAGGA
rnacentral:rRNA from 1 species